ACUGUCUGAAAAUCGCCUCUGGCCUCUUCAGUGGUCUUGGGUGAGAUAAUGGUGCCCACAGUAAAGGCAGCAUUAAGCUUAUUGUCUUGAGAACAAUCUCGGGGCAAUAAAACCCAUGCUUCUAUAUAU